GACGAACGCUGGCGGCGUGCUUAACACAUGCAAGUCGAACGGUAAGGCCCUUCGGGGUACACGAGUGGCGAACGGGUGAGUAACACGUGGGUGAUCUGCCCUGCACUUCGGGAUAAGCCUGGGAAACUGGGUCUAAUACCGGAUAGGACUCCUGGCUUCAUGGUUGGGGGAGGAAAGCUUUUGCGGUGUGGGAUGGGCCCGCGGCCUAUCAGCUUGGUGGUGGGGUAAUGGCCUACCAAGGCGACGACGGGUAGCCGGCCUGAGAGGGUGACCGGUCACACUGGGACUGAGAUACGGCCCAGACUCCUACGGGGGGCAGCAGUGGGGAAUAUUGCACAAUGGGCGCAAGCCUGAUGCAGCGACGCCGCGUGAGGGAUGACGGCCUUCGGGUUGUAAACCUCUUUCAGCUAUGACGAAGCGCAAGUGACGGUAGUAGCAGAAGAAGGACCGGCCAACUACGUGCCAGCCGCCGCCGUAA
rnacentral:rRNA from 1 species